rnacentral:rRNA from 1 species
UUGUGAAAUGUUGGGUUAAGUCCCGCAACGAGCGCAACCCUUAUCCUUUGUUGCCAGCGAUUAGGUCGGGAACUCAAAGGAGACUGCCAGUGAUAAACUGGAGGAAGGUGGGGAUGACGUCAAGUCAUCAUGGCCCUUACGACCAGGGCUACACACGUGCUACAAUGGCGCAUACAAAGAGAAGCGACCUCGCGAGAGCAAGCGGACCUCAUAAAGUGCGUCGUAGUCCGGAUUGGAGUCUGCAACUCGACUCCAUGAAGUCGGAAUCGCUAGUAAUCGUGGAUCAGAAUGCCACGGUGAAUACGUUCCCGGGCCUUGUACACACCGCCCGUCACACCAUGGGAGUGGGUUGCAAAAGAAGUAGGUAGCUUAACCUUCGGGAGGGCGCUUACCACUUUGUGAUUCAUGACUGGGGUGAAGUCGUAACAAGGUAACCGUAGGGGAACCUGCGGUUGGA